GAUGAACGCUGGCGGCGUGCCUAAUACAUGCAAGUCGAGCGAACGGACGAGAAGCUUGCGUCUCUGAUGUUAGCGGCGGACGGGUGAGUAACACGUGGAUAACCUACCUAUAAGACUGGGAUAACUUCGGGAAACCGGAGCUAAUACCGGAUAAUAUUUUGAACCGCAGGGGUCAAUAGUGAAAGACGGUCGUGCGGUCUGUUAUAGAUGGAUCCGCGCUGCAUUAGCUGGUUGGUAAGGUAACGGCUUACCAAGGCAACGAUGCAUAGCCGACCUGAGAGGGGGAUCCGCGCCCGUGAGGGUGAGCCCCGAUCCUGGCUCUGACGGGAGGCCGCAGUCGGGACUCUUCCGCAAUGGGCGGAAGCCUGACGGAGCAACGCCGCGCGAGUGAUGAAGCUCUUCGGAUCGUAAGACUCUGUUAUGGGGGAAGAACAUAUGUGUAUGUAACGGUGCGCAUCUGAACGGAACCUAAACAGAAAGCCCCGCUUAACUCCUU
rnacentral:rRNA from 1 species